CCUACGGGGGGCAGCAGUAGGGAAUCUUUCACAAUGGGCGAAAGCCUGAUGGAGCAACGCCGCGUGCAGGAUGAAGGCCUUCGGGUUGUAAACUGCUUUUAUAAGCGAGAAAUAUGAUGGUAACUUAUGAAUAAGGAUCGGCUAACUACGUGCCAGCAGCCGCGGUCAUACGUAGGAUCCGAGCAUUAUCCGGAGUGACUGGGUGUAAAGAGUUGCGUAGGUGGCAUAAUAAGUAGCUAGUGAAAUCUGGUGGCUCAACCCCGUCGUGCCGUUGAAACUGAUGUUCUUGAGUGGGCGAGAAGUAUGCGGAAUGCGUGGUGUAGCGGUGAAAUGCAUAGAUAUCACGCAGAACUCCGAUUGCGAAGGCAGCAUACCGGCGCCCAACUGACGCUGAAGCACGAAAGCGUGGGUAUCGAACAGGAUUAGAUACCCUUGUAGUC
rnacentral:rRNA from 1 species